AGCGAACGCUGGCGGCAGGCCUAACACAUGCAAGUCGAACGAACUCUUCGGAGUUAGUUGCGGACGGGUGAGGAACACGUGGGAACGUGCCUGUAGGUUCGGAAUAACUCAGGGAAACUUGUGCUAAUACCGAUUGUGCUCUUCGGGGGUAGGAUUUAUCGCGUUUUGAGCGGGCCGCGUCUGAUUGGCUAGUUGGUGAGGGAAAGGCUAACCAAGGCGAGGAUCAGUAGCUGGUCUGUGAGCAUGCUCAACUAGAUUGGGACUGAGACACGGCCCAAACUCGGACGCGAGGCAGCAGUGGGGAAUCUUGCGGAAUGAGCGAAAGCGUGACGCAGCCAUGCCGCGUAAAUGAGGCAGGUCUUAGGAUUGUAAAAUUCUUUCACCGGAGACGAUAAUGACGGUACCCGGAGAAGAAGCCCCGGCUAACUUCGUG
rnacentral:rRNA from 1 species